GAUGAACGCUAGCUACAGGCUUAACACAUGCAAGUCGAGGGGAAACAAUGAGAGAGCUUUCUCUCUUAGUCGUCGACCGGCGCACGGGUGAGUAACGCGUAUCCAACCUACCCAUUACAGGGGGAUAACCUUACGAAAGUAAGAUUAAUACCCCAUGUCAUUUUAGGGUGGUUUCAUUAUAGGAUUCAAGCUUUAUUUGUAAUGGAUGGGGAUGCGUUUGAUUAGCUUGUUGGCGAAGUAACGGCCCACCAAGGCAACGAUCAGUAGGGGUUCUGAGAGGAAGGUACCCCACAUCUGAACUGCGGCACAGUCCACAAUGCUACGCGAGGGAGCAGUGAGGAAUAUUGGUCACUGGGGCAGGGCUUGAACCAGCCAAGUAGCGUGCAGGAGGACGGCCAUAUGAGUUGUAAACUGCUUUUAUAGGGGAAUAGUGUGAGUUACGUGUAGUUUAUUGAAGGUACCCAAUGAAUAAGGACCGGCUAACUCCGUG
rnacentral:rRNA from 1 species